UACGAAGGGGGCUAGCGUUGUUCGGAAUUACUGGGCGUAAAGCGCGCGCAGGCGGUCUUCCAAGUCAGUGGUGAAAGCCCGGAGCUCAACUCCGGAACUGCCAUUGAAACUGUUGGACUUGAGUAUGAGAGAGGUGAGUGGAAUUCCCAGUGUAGAGGUGAAAUUCGUAGAUAUUGGGAAGAACACCGGUGGCGAAGGCGGCUCACUGGCUCAUUACUGACGCUCAGGCGCGACAGCGUGGGGAGCGAACAGG
rnacentral:rRNA from 1 species